CGGUAGCCGCGGGAAAACCAGCACCUCGAGUGGUCAGGAGGUUUAUUGGGCCUAAAGCAUCCGUAGCCGGUUGCAUAAGUUUUCGGUUAAAUCUAUGCGCUUAACGUAUAGGCCGCCGAAAAUACUGUGCAGCUAGGGAGUGGGAGAGGUACACGGUACUCGAUAGGAAGGGGUAAAAUCCUUUGAUCUAUUGAUGACCACCUGUGGCGAAGGCGGUGUACCAGAACACGUUCGACGGUGAGGGAUGAAAGCUGGGGGAGCAAACCGGAUUAGAUACCCCUGUAGUCCCUGUCUCUUAUAC
rnacentral:rRNA from 1 species